UUUCUCUUUUAUUUAGGUUCUUUUUAUAUAUAUAUAUAUAUAAAAAUUCGAAUCGACGCAAAAAAUAUUAAGUUUUACUAUUAUUAAUAGUAUAUAAAGGAAUACUAUUGGAUUUAACUAAAUAUUAUACAGUCAAAAGGGAAUUAAAAAUUUCUAUUCAAAAUAUUUGUUUUAAAAUUAAACCAAAAUGACUGAAGAAACAAAUGAAGAUUUUCUAAUUACUAGAUUAAAUGAAAUGGCUCUAAAGCCUUCAAGUGAAAGUAGAGUCGAAACUGCAGUUCCAAUGCGUUGUUGGGGACGAGGAUCUAGUCGGCCAGAUAUUGCAGACUUAAAUUUACCAAAAUUUCUACAACUUUAUGACAAACAGAGUAAUGUAAGUUUUAUUUAUUUUUAAUUGCUAUGUAAAUUAUAUUUUUUAGAACUAUGUACAUAAAUGCAGCAGAGUUAGAAAUAUGUGUAAUAUGUUUUACAGUAGCUAUAUAAAUGUUAAAGCAUCACUUUUGAGACAAUAGAUAGCAUCAAAGCAACUUAACUGCUCUUCAGCUGACAUCAG
rnacentral:lncRNA from 1 species